rnacentral:tRNA from 3 species
CGGGGCGUAGCUCAGUGGUAGAGCGCUCGCUUCGGGUGCGAGAGGUCGCAGGUUCAAGUCCUGUCGCCCCGACCA